rnacentral:rRNA from 1 species
CCUACGGGUGGCAGCAGUGGGGAAUAUUGCACAAUGGGGGAAACCCUGAUGCAGCGCCGCCGCGUGAGUGAAGAAGUAAUUCGUUCUGUAAAGCUCUAUCAUCCGGGAAGAAAAUGACGGUACCUGCGUCAGAAGCCCCGGCUAACUACUUGCCAGCAGCCGCGGUAAUACGUAGGGGGCAAGCGUUAUCCGGAUUUGCUGGGUGUAAAGGGAGCGUAGACGGCAGUGCAAGAAUGGAGUGAAAGGCGGGGGCUCAACCCCCGGACUGCUCUGGAUACUGUACGGCUGGAGUGCAGGAGAGGUAAGUGGAAGUACUAGUGUAGCGGUGAAAUGCGUAGAUAUUAGGAGGAACACCAGUGGCGAAGGCGGCUUACGGGACUGUAACUGACGUUGAGGCUCGAAAGCGUGGGGAGCAAACAGGAUUAGAUACCCGAGUAGUC